CUUCACGCCGCGUGGAUGACAGGGUCAUCCCGACGUCGGAACUAAGCGACGACCUUAGAAGGAGUGGAGGCCGGGCCUGUCAUCUUCCUGCGGGCCUGGCAGCAGCGUGGGGCGGUGGACCCAAUCUAAUCAUCAGCUCCUGAAAAAUGGAAAACCUUUUCCAACUGGUGAGAGGGAGAUGUGACAGUGAAGGCUCAGAGGGAGAUGCACUAUUGCUGGCCUUGAAGAUUGAGGAUGGAGUCAAGAGCUAAGGAAUGAACAGGACCUCCAGAAGCUAGAAAAGGUAAGGAAACAGAUUCUUCAUUAGAGCCUCCAAAAGGGAACACAGCUCUGGGAUACCUUGAUGGUAGCUCAGUGAGAACCCAUGUCACACAGCGGACCUACGGAGCUGUACGAGAAUAAAUUUGUG
rnacentral:lncRNA from 1 species